AUUGAACGCUGGCGGCAGGCCUAACACAUGCAAGUCGAGCGGCAGCGGGAAAGUAGCUUGCUACUUUUGCCGGCGAGCGGCGGACGGGUGAGUAAUGCCUGGGAAAUUGCCCAGUCGAGGGGGAUAACAGUUGGAAACGACUGCUAAUACCGCAUACGCCCUACGGGGGAAAGCAGGGGACCUUCGGGCCUUGCGCGAUUGGAUAUGCCCAGGUGGGAUUAGCUAGUUGGUGAGGUAAUGGCUCACCAAGGCGACGAUCCCUAGCUGGUCUGAGAGGAUGAUCAGCCACACUGGAACUGUGACACGGUCCAGACUCCUACGGGAGGCAGCAGUGGGGAAUAUUGCACAAUGGGGAAACCCUGAUGCAGCCAUGCCGCGUGUGUGAAGAAGGCCUUCGGGUUGUAAAGCACUUUCAGCGAGGAGGAAAGGUUGAUGCCUAAUACGUAUCAACUGUGACGUUACUCGCAGAAGAAGCACCGGCUAACUCCGUGCCAGCCGCCGCAGUAACAC
rnacentral:rRNA from 1 species